UAAUUUAUUUAUGCUUCUUUUAUUCUAUUUUCUAACUAAGCAUUAAUAUUUACUAUUGAUAUAUUGUGAUUUACUAUUGAUAUUAAUAGCUAAGCAUUAAUAUUGGAAGAUGUUAGCUUUGGUGAUAAUUAUGAAGUAGAGCUUACUGAUGGUGAUUCAAAUUCCAUUGGAACUGGAACUACUACUACUAAAAGGCUUUAUAAGAUAAAAACGUAUAAUAGCACAAAGCCAUUUCCUCUAAUGCAAGGUGAAGGAAAAACAUUCAGUUGGGUUGGAGCAAUAUCUACAAUUGAUAGAGAUGAGGAACAAAUUGGGAGAAACCCCAGCUUACAGAGCAGUUGCUCUUGGGAAGAUAGACUUGCUCAGUUUUUCCCAUGGGUUAUAGUGAUUAUUUGAAGAAGAUGAGAAAGAGUGGUGAAUGGGGUGAUCAUGUCACAUUGUAGGCGGCUGCAGAUUGGGUGAGUUAGACCCAGAACUAAGUAUCUUGUUGGCAGAUAUCACCAUUCAUACCACAUAAUAAUAGAGAAAUUAGUUUACCCG
rnacentral:sRNA from 1 species